GCGAGUCGAGAGGGUUCGGCCCUCGGCGAACUGCUCAGUAACACGUGGAUAAUCUGCCCUUAGGUGGAGGAUAACCUCGGGAAACUGAGAAUAAUACUCCAUAGAUCUUUGAGGCUGGAAUGCGCUAAGAUUGAAAGCUUCGGCGCCUAAGGAUGAGUCUGCGGACUAUCAGGUUGUAGUCAGGGUAAAGACCUGACUAGCCUACGACGGAUACGGGUUGUGAGAGCAAUAACCCAGAGAUGAUAUCUGAGACACGAUAUCAGGCCCUACGGGGCGCAGCAGGCGCGAAAACUUCACAAUGCGCGAAAGCGCGAUGAGGGGAUCCCAAGUGCUUGCACGUAAGUGUAAGCUGUUUUUCUGUUUAAAAAGCAGAGAGAGUAAGAGCUGGGUAAGACGGGUGCCAGCCGCCGCGAUAAUACCUGCAGCUCAAGUGGUGGCCGCUAUUAUUGGGCCUAAAACGUCCGUAGCCGGCUAAGUAAAUGCCUGGGUAAAUCGUGCCGCUUAACGGUACGAAUUCCGGGUAGACUGCUUAGCUUGGGACCGGAAGAAGUUAGAGGUACUCCUGGGGUAGGGGUGAAAUCCUGUAAUCCUGGGGGGACCACCAGUGGCGAAGGCGUCUAACUAGGACGGGUCUGACGGUGAGGGACGAAGCCCUGGGGCGCAAACCGGAUUAGAUACCC
rnacentral:rRNA from 1 species